ensembl:ncRNA lncRNA:Hsromega Heat shock RNA omega
UCACUCUCAAAUGAAAAGUGUUCAAGUGCAUUCAAAGUGAAGCUGAAAAAAUAACCAGUUAAAAAUAGUACAAAGAAAUUUUCUUUCUUGCAAUUUGCAAGCAGUAGCUACAACCAAAAAUGGAAAAGUGUAAAAAUCGUGUCCCAGCAGACGAGCAGCAGCAGUACGAGUAUUGCAAAAUGCAGGGGCAAGGGCCCACGUAGUAUUUUUCCACGUCGGGCAUUUAAUGCUCUCGAGUUGGAAACAAUGAAACCAUACGCAAACCCCCUGGAAAAGAUGUGAUUAGUCAUCGAUUUUGCUGGUCAGCGUCGGGGAAUUUCGCAAUGCAGCAGGCAGUUUUCUCAAAUUUGGCUAGAAAGUGACCCACUAGGCAGUCUGAGGCAGUUAUCCAGGAUGUAAGGAUGUGUGCAGUACUCUCUGUGUCGAAUGGCGAUGGCCCUGACCUGCGGAUUUUGAAAGAUUGAAAUAGGAAGCCAGGUAUACAUACACAGCAACGAAUGCAGCGUGUUCUAUAUUCUUAAUUCGUAAGCCAAACCUAUGUUUAAGACGUAGUUUAUAUAACCGUACAUAUGUAUGUAGCGAAACACGUUUUCAAACGUCGCAUCGAAGCCAUUUCUUCUGCAGCCAUUGCAAUUUCAUCGUGUUGCGUAAUCGCAAAUUGUAAAUGUGUCCCUACUACUUCACAUUUGUGUGUAUCCAAGUCGAAAGUUCUCGAACUAUUCUCGUGAGCAACCCCCGGAUCGAAAGGCCACCAACUGGCUCGUUCUCUCUCUCCAGAAACAGCUUACUCUUACGUUUACAAUUGACUCUCUACCUAUCGGGUAUACACAUUUUUAUAUAUGUAUACACUCAGAGACACCCCAAUCCCCCACCAUACAUAUGGCGAGAUGUGUGAAUGUAUCGCAGUUGGACGAAAACGGCAGCUGCGCAGAAAACGCUGCGGCGUACAUACAAACGAGCUCUUUGUUUGCCUUUCCCCAGUUUUGCUUCCCCAUACGUAUAACUGGUGUUUAUCAGCGGUAAUCUCGCCAGCCUGACUUUGUCCCUGUCGCUUCUAUUGACAUUCUAAACUAGAUUGUAGACGUUUUAACAUUUACCUAGCUGUUAAUCUUAUUUGUAAACAUCUCUAUAUGCAACCUGCCAUACCACUUAACCAAGCAAUAUGUAUUUCUUUCUCUAAACUUUAUAGUUGGGCGUUGAAAGUUGAUAUCGAUAUCGAUCCGUGAAAAGUCGAUACCCUGCGCAAGCAUGGGGCGGCAUAUGGGUGCUGAAAACGCACUCGGCCCGAUCCCGAUUGCAGCGUUAUUCGAAAGCUGUGUCUGCGACCGUGACUGAGAUCAUAUGCGUACAUAUAUCUAAUGUCCGGGGUCGUAGGCCAGCCAGGGUGCUCGAUUCUGUCAGAUUGAUUGUGCGGAUUGUGUUAUAGGAACACUGGUGUAUCGACUUCUCUGCUCCACUAUGGGUGAAGGAUACCCUACCGAAAAGGCCUUCUGUCGCUUACUAUCAUCGAACAAGUUCCGUAAAGGGCAGACAUACGUACACGUGGCAGCAUAUUACGUUCAAUGACACAUCGUCUCUGGAUUAGUAGUUGAACCAACGAGCUCGAAUAUACCCUGCCAGUUGGUUGUAAAUAUUAAUUUUGUUCUUAUAUUCAGUUGUAAAGUCAAUACGGAAGACAUUUCCACACCAACCAUGUGUCACUUAUGUUCUUAAAUACCAGAAACUGUUUAAAUUUUUGUUCUUAUACACUUCACCAAUUAAGAAUUACCUGUACUGAUGUAAGUGUACCUGUUGAAUCACAACAAAAAUAGAAAAAAUGAAUAACAAAAGAGCUCUAUAACAGAAAAGCCACAGAAAAAGUGAAUAAAAAUUCAAAAAUUCAAAAAAUAAAUUUCGAAACAUUUGCUCGUGAUAUUUUUAUUUCAAGAAAAGAUCCGAUUUCAGUUAUACCAUCUAGCUUAAAUUUAGCGUUACGAGAAUAGUCCCUCGGAGGAAAGGCCCUUUAUCAAGAUGCCAAUAUCGUUCGUCCUAUACACAAAUUACUCACGUUAUGAAACCAAGUCGAAAAAUCGGACAAAGUGUCUACAAUUGAGGAAAGGUCUAUUGAUCUCCUGUGAGCGCAAAAAGUUUGUAUUCGAACGAGAAUUUUAAGGUUUAAAAUCAGCUGAAAAGUACGUAUAUUCCGCAUUUAUUUUUCUCCACAUUUUUAGGAUCAGAACAUCAGAACUAUAUUUUUUUGGAAAAAUCAACGGAUAUUAUUUUGUUUGGAGGUCCCAAAUUCUAUACACCUUCACACAUAUUUUUGCAUACAAAAAAACCUAAAAAUAAUAUUAUUGAAUGGCAAAAAAAACCAUUUAUAACAUGAAAAUUACUCGAAGUACUUCAAUUUAAUUACCGAACCAAAAUAUAUACACGUACGACUCGUGUUGGACGAGAUUACAUUAAGAGAACUUUGAAAAAUAAUAAAAAAAGGUUUGAAAUUGAAAACUGUAAAGUAUAAUAUUCGUAAUAAGGAAUUUAUAAAGAUAAAUAACCACAACAAAAUGAACCACAAUAAUAUGAAACCAUGAACAAUAGGUAUGAUUUAUGUCGAUUAGCCUCUUGGUAAAAUAAACUUAAAAUCCAUAUAGGUGUGUGUUAUAAAACUGCCCCAAUUCAAAAUUGCGUCUCGUAAUAAACCAAAAGUACAUCGUACAACUGCAACAUGACCCGCAAUUAUUUGAACUCUUUAACAAUAGGUUUCAUUUACUCCGAUUACCCCAAUCACAAUCUUUCGAAAAGGCUUAGCCUCUUGGUAAAAUACCCUUAAAAUCCAUAUAAGUAGGGUGUGAUAUAAAACUAUCCCAAUUCAAAAUCGCGUCACAUAAUAAACAACAAAUUAAAGCAUCUUAAAGGGUCUAAUUUUUAGGACAUAUUAAUUUACUUAAUAGGUAGGAAUUGAACAUACGGUAUUUUUAUAUGGUAUAUCUUAACAACUGCAACAUGACCCACACUUUUAUGAACUCUUUAAUAAUGGUUAUUAUAAAACCCGAUUACCUUAAUCAUUAUCCUUCGAAAAGGACAUGCAACAUGACCCACACUUUUAUGAACUCUUUAAUAAUGGUUUUGAUAAAACCCGAUUACCUUAAUCAUCAUCCUUCGAAACGGCUUAUCCUCUUGGUAAAAUACACUUAAAAUCCAUAUAGGUAGGGUGUGAUAUAAAACGUUCCCAAUUCAAAAUCGCGUCACAUAAUAAACAAAAAGUUAAAGCAUCUUAAAAGGACUGAUAUAUAGGACAUAUUAAUUUACUUAAUAGGUAGGAAUUGAACAUACGGUAUUUUUAUAUGGUAUAUCUUAACAACUGCAACAUGACCCACACUUUUAUGAACUCUUUAAUAAUGGUUAUUAUAAAACCCGAUUACCUUAAUCAUUAUCCUUCGAAAAGGCUUAUCCUCUUGGUAAAAUACACUUAAAAUCCAUAUAGGUAGGGUGUGAUAUAAAACGUUCCCAAUUCAAAAUCGCGUCACAUAAUAAACAAAGAGUUAAAGCAUCUUAAAAGGACUGAUAUAUAGGACAUAUUAAUUUACUUAAUAGGUAGGAAUUGAACAUACGGUAUUUUUAUAUGGUAUAUCUUAACAACUGCAACAUGACCCACACUUUUAUGAACUCUUUAAUAAUGGUUUUGAUAAAACCCGAUUACCUUAAUCAUCAUCCUUCGAAAACUCUUAUCCUCUUGGUAAAAUACACUUAAAAUCUAUAUAGGUAGGGUGUGAUAUAAAACGUUCCCAAUUUAAAAUCGCGUCACAUAAUAAACAAGAAAUUAAAGCAUCUUAAAGGGUCUAAUUUUUAGGACAUAUUAAUUUACUUAAUAGGUAGGAAUUGAACAUACGGUAUUUUUAUAUGGUAUAUCUUAACAACUGCAACAUGACCCACACUUUUAUGAACUCUUUAAUAAUGGUUUUGAUAAAACCCGAUUACCUUAAUCAUUAUCCUUCGAAAAGGCUUAUCCUCUUGGUAAAAUACACUUAAAAUCCAUAUAGGUAGGGUGUGAUAUAAAACGUUCCCAAUUCAAAAUCGCGUCACAUAAUAAACAAAGAGUUAAAGCAUCUUAAAAGGACUGAUAUAUAGGACAUAUUAAUUUACUUAAUAGGUAGGAAUUGAACACACGCUAUUUUUAUAUGGUAUAUCUUAACAACAGCAACAUGACCCACACUUUUAUGAACUCUUUAAUAAUGGUUUUGAUAAAACCCGAUUACCUUAAUCAUUAUCCUUCGAAAAGGCUUAUCCUCUUGGUAAAAUACACUUAAAAUCCAUAUAGGUAGGGUGUGAUAUAAAACGUUCCCAAUUCAAAAUCGCGUCACAUAAUAAACAAAGAGUUAAAGCAUCUUAAAAGGACUGAUAUAUAGGACAUAUUAAUUUACUUAAUAGGUAGGAAUUGAACAUACGGUAUUUUUAUAUGGUAUAUCUUAACAACUGCAACAUGACCCACACUUAUGAACUCUUUAAUAAUGGUUAUUAUAAAACCCGAUUACCUUAAUCAUUAUCCUUCGAAAAGGCUUAUCCUCUUGGUAAAAUACACUUAAAAUCUAUAUAGGUAGGGUGUGAUAUAAAACGUUCCCAAUUCAAAAUCGCGUCACAUAAUAAACAAAGAGUUAAAGCAUCUUAAAAGGACUGAUAUAUAGGACAUAUUAAUUUACUUAAUAGGUAGGAAUUGAACAUACGGUAUUUUUAUAUGGUAUAUCUUAACAACUGCAACAUGACCCACACUUUUAUGAACUCUUUAAUAAUGGUUUUGAUAAAACCCGAUUACCUUAAUCAUUAUCCUUCGAAAAGGCUUAUCCUCUUGGUAAAAUACACUUAAAAUCCAUAUAGGUAGGGUGUGAUAUAAAACGUUCCCAAUUCAAAAUCGCGUCACAUAAUAAACAAAGAGUUAAAGCAUCUUAAAAGGACUGAUAUAUAGGACAUAUUAAUUUACUUAAUAGGUAGGAAUUGAACACACGCUAUUUUUAUAUGGUAUAUCUUAACAACUGCAACAUGACCCACACUUUUAUGAACUCUUUAAUAAUGGUUAUGAUAAAACCCGAUUACCUUAAUCAUUAUCCUUCGAAAAGGCUUAUCCUCUUGGUAAAAUACACUUAAAAUCCAUAUAGGUAGGGUGUGAUAUAAAACGUUCCCAAUUCAAAAUCGCGUCGCAUAAUAAACAAAAAGUUAAAGCAUCUUAAAAGGACUGAUAUAUAGGACAUAUGAAUUUACUUAAUAGGUAGGAAUUGAACAUACGGUAUUUUUAUAUGGUAUAUCUUAACAACUGCAACAUGACCCACACUUUUAUGAACUCUUUAAUAAUGGUUAUGAUAAAACCCGAUUACCUUAAUCAUUAUCCUUCGAAAAGGCUUAUCCUCUUGGUAAAAUACACUUAAAAUCCAUAUAGGUAGGGUGUGAUAUAAAACGUUCCCAAUUCAAAAUCGCGUCACAUAAUAAACAAAGAGUUAAAGCAUCUUAAAAGGACUGAUAUAUAGGACAUAUUAAUUUACUUAAUAGGUAGGAAUUGAACACACGGUAUUUUUAUAUGGUAUAUCUUAACAACUGCGACAUGACCCACAAUUUUAUGAACUUAACAAUAGGUUUUAUUUAUCCCGAUUACCCCAAUCACUAUCCUUCGAAAAGGCUUAUCCUCUUGGUAAAAUACACUUAAAAUCCAUAUAGGUAGGGUGUGAUAUAAAACGUUCCCAAUUCAAAAUCGCGUCACAUAAUAAACAAGAAAUUAAAGCAUCUUAAAGGGUCUAAUUUUUAGGACAUAUUAAUUUACUUAAUAGGUAGGCAUUGAACAUACGGUAUUUUUAUAUGGUAUAUCUUAACAACUGCAACAUGACCCACACUUUUAUGAACUCUUUAAUAAUGGUUAUUAUAAAACCCGAUUACCUUAAUCAUUAUCCUUCGAAAAGGACAUGCAACAUGACCCACACUUUUAUGAACUCUUUAAUAAUGGUUUUGAUAAAACCCGAUUACCUUAAUCAUUAUCCUUCGAAAAGGCUUAUCCUCUUGGUAAAAUACACUUAAAAUCCAUAUAGGUAGGGUGUGAUAUAAAACGUUCCCAAUUCAAAACCGCGUCACAUAAUAAACAAAAAGUUAAAGCAUCUUAAAAGGACUGAUUUAUAGGACAUAUUAAUUUACUUAAUAGGUAGGAAUUGAACAUACGGUAUUUUUAUAUGGUAUAUCUUAACAACUGCGACAUGACCCACAAUUUUAUGAACUUAACAAUAGGUUUUAUUUAUCCCGAUUACCCCAAUCAUUAUCCUUCGAAAAGGCUUAUCCUCUUGGUAAAAUACACUUAAAAUCCAUAUAGGUAGGGUGUGAUAUAAAACAUUCCCAAUUCAAAAUCGCGUCUCGUAAUAAACAAGAAAUUAAAGCAUCUUAAAGGGUCUAAUUUUUAGGACAUACUAAUUUACUUAAUAGGUAGGCAUUUAACAUACGGUAUUUUUAUAUGGUUUAUCUUAACAACUGCAACAUGACCCACAAUUUUAUGAACUCUUUACCAAUAGGUUUUAUUUAUCCCGAUUACCCCAAUCACUAUCCUUCGAAAAGGCUUAUCCUCUUGGUAAAAUACCCUUAAAAUCCAUAUAAGUAGGGUGUGAUAUAAAACUAUCCCAAUUCAAAAUCGCGUCACAUAAUAAACAAGAAAUUAAAGCAUCUUAAAGGGUCUAAUUUUUAGGACAUAUUAAUUUACUUAAUAGGUAGGCAUUGAACAUACGGUAUUUUUAUAUGGUAUAUCUUAACAACUGCAACAUGACCCACAACUUUAUGAACUCUUUACCAAUAGGUUUUAUUUAUCCCGAUUACCCCAAUCACUAUCCUUCGAAAAGGCUUAUCCUCUUGGUAAAAUACACUUAAAAUCCAUAUAGGUAGGGUGUGAUAUAAAACUAUCCCAAAUCAAAAUCGCGUCACAUAAUAAACAAGAAAUUAAAGCAUCUUAAAGGGUCUAAUUUUUAGGACAUAAAUUUACGUAAUAGGUAGGAAUUGAACACACGGUAUUUUUAUAUGGUAUAUCUUAACAACUGCAACAUGACCCACAACUUUAUGAACUCUUUACCAAUAGGUUUUAUUUAUCCCGAUUACCCCAAUCACUAUCCUUCGAAAAGGCUUAUCCUCUUGGUAAAAUACCCUUAAAAUCCAUAUAGGUAGGGUGUGAUAUAUAACUAUCCCAAAUCAAAAUCGCGUCACAUAAUAAACAAGAAAUUAAAGCAUCUUAAAGGGUCUAAUUUUUAGGACAUAUUAAUUUACUUAAUAGGUAGGAAUUGAACACACGGUAUUUUUAUAUGGCAUAUCUUAACAACUGCAACAUGACCCACACUUUUAUGAACUCUUUAAUAAUGGUUAUGAUAAAACCCGAUUACCUUAAUCAUUAUCCUUCGAAAAGGCUUAUCCUCUUGGUAAAAUACACUUAAAAUCCAUAUAGGUAAGGUGUGAUAUAAAUCGUUCCCAAUUCAAAAUCGCGUCACAUAAUAAACAAAAAGUUAAAGCAUCUUAAAAGGACUGAUUUUUAGGACAUAUUAAUUUACUUAAUAGGUAGGCAUUGAACAUACGGUAUUUUUAUAUGGUAUAUCUUAACAACUGCAACAUGACCCACACUUUUAUGAACUCUUUAAUAAUGGUUAUUAUAAAACCCGAUUACCUUAAUCAUUAUCCUUCGAAAAGGACAUGCAACAUGACCCACACUUUUAUGAACUCUUUAAUAAUGGUUUUGAUAAAACCCGAUUACCUUAAUCAUUAUCCUUCGAAAAGGCUUAUCCUCUUGGUAAAAUACACUUAAAAUCCAUAUAGGUAGGGUGUGAUAUAAAACAUUCCCAAUUCAAAAUCGCGUCUCGUAAUAAACAAGAAAUUAAAGCAUCUUAAAGGGUCUAAUUUUUAGGACAUACUAAUUUACUUAAUAGGUAGGCAUUUAACAUACGGUAUUUUUAUAUGGUUUAUCUUAACAACUGCAACAUGACCCACAAUUUUAUGAACUAUUUACCAAUAGGUUUUAUUUAUCCCGAUUACCCCAAUCACUAUCCUUCGAAAAGGCUUAUCCUCUUGGUAAAAUACCCUUAAAAUCCAUAUAAGUAGGGUGUGAUAUAAAACUAUCCCAAUUCAAAAUCGCGUCACAUAAUAAACAAGAAAUUAAAGCAUCUUAAAGGGUCUAAUUUUUAGGACAUAUUAAUUUACUUAAUAGGUAGGCAUUGAACAUACGGUAUUUUUAUAUGGUAUAUCUUAACAACUGCAACAUGACCCACAACUUUAUGAACUCUUUACCAAUAGGUUUUAUUUAUCCCGAUUACCCCAAUCACUAUCCUUCGAAAAGGCUUAUCCUCUUGGUAAAAUACCCUUAAAAUCCAUAUAAGUAGGGUGUGAUAUAAAACUAUCCCAAUUCAAAAUCGCGUCACAUAAUAAACAAGAAAUUAAAGCAUCUUAAAGGGUCUAAUUUUUAGGACAUAUUAAUUUACUUAAUAGGUAGGCAUUGAACAUACGGUAUUUUUAUAUGGUAUAUCUUAACAACUGCAACAUGACCCACAACUUUAUGAACUCUUUACCAAUAGGUUUUAUUUAUCCCGAUUACCCCAAUCACUAUCCUUCGAAAAGGCUUAUCCUCUUGGUAAAAUACACUUAAAAUCCAUAUAGGUAGGGUGUGAUAUAAAACUAUCCCAAAUCAAAAUCGCGUCACAUAAUAAACAAGAAAUUAAAGCAUCUUAAAGGGUCUAAUUUUUAGGACAUAAAUUUACGUAAUAGGUAGGAAUUGAACACACGGUAUUUUUAUAUGGUAUAUCUUAACAACUGCAACAUGACCCACAACUUUAUGAACUCUUUACCAAUAGGUUUUAUUUAUCCCGAUUACCCCAAUCACUAUCCUUCGAAAAGGCUUAUCCUCUUGGUAAAAUACCCUUAAAAUCCAUAUAGGUAGGGUGUGAUAUAUAACUAUCCCAAAUCAAAAUCGCGUCACAUAAUAAACAAGAAAUUAAAGCAUCUUAAAGGGUCUAAUUUUUAGGACAUAUUAAUUUACUUAAUAGGUAGGAAUUGAACACACGGUAUUUUUAUAUGGCAUAUCUUAACAACUGCAACAUGACCCACACUUUUAUGAACUCUUUAAUAAUGGUUAUGAUAAAACCCGAUUACCUUAAUCAUUAUCCUUCGAAAAGGCUUAUCCUCUUGGUAAAAUACACUUAAAAUCCAUAUAGGUAGGGUGUGAUAUAAAUCGUUCCCAAUUCAAAAUCGCGUCACAUAAUAAACAAAAAGUUAAAGCAUCUUAAAAGGACUGAUUUUUAGGACAUAUUAAUUUACUUAAUAGGUAGGAAUUGAACACACGGUAUUUUUAUAUGGCAUAUCUUAACAACUGCAACAUGACCCACAAUUUUAUGAACUCUUUAAUAAUGGUUAUGAUAAAACCCGAUUACCUUAAUCAUUAUCCUUCGAAAAGGCUUAUCCUCUUGGUAAAAUACACUUAAAAUCCAUAUAGGUAGGGUGUGAUAUAAAUCGUUCCCAAUUCAAAAUCGCGUCACAUAAUAAACAAAAAGUUAAAGCAUCUUAAAAGGACUGAUUUUUAGGACAUAUUAAUUUACUUAAUAGGUAGGAAUUGAACACACGGUAUUUUUAUAUGGCAUAUCUUAACAACUGCAACAUGACCCACAAUUUUAUGAACUCUUUAAUAAUGGUUAUGAUAAAACCCGAUUACCUUAAUCAUUAUCCUUCGAAAAGGCUUAUCCUCUUGGUAAAAUACACUUAAAAUCCAUAUAGGAAGGGGGUGAUAUAAAACUAUCCCAAUUCAAAAUCGCGUCACAUAAUAAACAAAAAGUUAAAGCAUCUUAAAAGGACUGAUUUUUAGGACAUAUUAAUUUACUUAAUAGGUAGGAAUUGAACACACGGUAUUUUUAUAUGGCAUAUCUUAACAACUGCAACAUGACCCACAAUUUUAUGAACUCUUUAAUAAUGGUUAUGAUAAAACCCAAUUACCUUAAUCAUUAUCCUUCGAAAACUCUUAUCCUCUUGGUAAAAUACACUUAAAAUCUAUAUAGGUAGGGUGUGAUAUAAAACGUUCCCAAUUUAAAAUCGCGUCACAUAAUAAACAAAAAGUUAAAGCAUCUUAAAAGGACUGAUUUUUAGGACAUAUUAAUUUACUUAAUAGGUAGGAAUUGAACACACGGUAUUUUUAUAUGGCAUAUCUUAACAACUGCAACAUGACCCACACUUUUAUGAACUCUUUAAUAAUGGUUAUGAUAAAACCCGAUUACCUUAAUCAUUAUCAUUCGAAAAGGCUUAUCCUCUUGGUAAAAUACACUUAAAAUCCAUAUAGGUAGGGUGUGAUAUAAAACGUUCCCAAUUCAAAAUCGCGUCACAUAAUAAACAAAGAGUUAAAGUAUCUUAAAAGGACUGAUUUAUAGGACAUAUUAAUUUACUUAAUAGGUAGGAAUUGAACACACGGUAUUUUUAUAUGGCAUAUCUUAACAACUGCAACAUGACCCACACUUUUAUGAACUCUUUAAUAAUGGUUAUGAUAAAACCCGAUUACCUUAAUCAUUAUCCUUCGAAAAGGCUUAUCCUCUUGGUAAAAUACACUUAAAAUCCAUAUAGGUAGGGUGUGAUAUAAAACUAUCCCAAUUCAAAAUCGCGUCACAUAAUUAACAAAAAGUUAAAGCAUCUUAAAAGGACUGAUUUUUAGGACAUAUUAAUUUACUUAAUAGGUAGGAAUUGAACACACGGUAUUUUUAUAUGGCAUAUCUUAACAACUGCAACAUGACCCACAACUUUAUGAACUCUUUACCAAUAGGUUUUAUUUAUCCCGAUUACCCCAAUCACUAUCCUUCGAAAAGGCUUAUCCUCUUGGUAAAAUACCCUUAAAAUCCAUAUAGGUAGGGUGUGAUAUAUAACUAUCCCAAAUCAAAAUCGCGUCACAUAAUAAACAAGAAAUUAAAGCAUCUUAAAGGGUCUAAUUUUUAGGACAUAUUAAUUUACUUAAUAGGUAGGAAUUGAACACACGGUAUUUUUAUAUGGCAUAUCUUAACAACUGCAACAUUACCCACAAUUUUAUGAACUCUUUAAUAAUGGUUAUGAUAAAACCCGAUUACCUUAAUCAUUAUCCUUCGAAAAGGCUUAUCCUCUUGGUAAAAUACACUUAAAAUCCAUAUAGGUAGGGUGUGAUAUAAAUCGUUCCCAAUUCAAAAUCGCGUCACAUUAUAAACAAAAAGUUAAAGCAUCUUAAAAGGACUGAUUUUUAGGACAUAUUAAUUUACUUAAUAGGUAGGAAUUGAACACACGGUAUUUUUAUAUGGCAUAUCUUAACAACUGCAACAUGACCCACAAUUUUAUGAACUCUUUAAUAAUGGUUAUGAUAAAACCCGAUUACCUUAAUCAUUAUCCUUCGAAAAGGCUUAUCCUCUUGGUAAAAUACACUUAAAAUCCAUAUAGGUAGGGUGUGAUAUAAAUCGUUCCCAAUUCAAAAUCGCGUCACAUUAUAAACAAAAAGUUAAAGCAUCUUAAAAGGACUGAUUUUUAGGACAUAUUAAUUUACUUAAUAGGUAGGAAUUGAACACACGGUAUUUUUAUAUGGCAUAUCUUAACAACUGCAACAUGACCCACAAUUUUAUGAACUCUUUAAUAAUGGUUAUGAUAAAACCCGAUUACCUUAAUCAUUAUCCUUCGAAAAGGCUUAUCCUCUUGGUAAAAUACACUUAAAAUCCAUAUAGGUAGGGUGUGAUAUAAAACGUUCCCAAUUCAAAAUCGCGUCACAUAAUAAACAAAGAGUUAAAGUAUCUUAAAAGGACUGAUUUAUAGGACAUAUUAAUUUACUUAAUAGGUAGGAAUUGAACACACGUUAUUUUUAUAUGGUAUAUCUUAACAACUGCAAACAUGCCCCACAAUUUUAUGAACUCUUUAAUAAUGGUUAUGAUAAAACCCGAUUACCUUAAUCAUUAUCCUUCGAAAAGGCUUAUCCUCUUGGUAAAAUACACUUAAAAUCUAUAUAGGUAGGGUGUGAUAUAAAACGUUCCCAAUUUAAAAUCGCGUCACAUAAUAAACAAGAAAUUAAAGCAUCUUAAAGGGUCUAAUUUUUAGGAUAUAUUAAUUUACUUAAUAGGUAGGAAUUGAACACACGGUAUUUUUAUAUGGCAUAUCUUAACAACUGCAACAUGACCCACACUUUUAUGAACUCUUUAAUAAUGGUUAUGAUAAAACCCGAUUACCUUAAUCAUUAUCCUUCGAAAAGGCUUAUCCUCUUGGUAAAAUACACUUAAAAUCCAUAUAGGUAGGGUGUGAUAUAAAACUAUCCCAAUUCAAAAUCGCGUCACAUAAUAAACAAAAAGUUAAAGCAUCUUAAAAGGACUGAUUUUUAGGACAUAUUAAUUUACUUAAUAGGUAGGAAUUGAACACACGGUAUUUUUAUAUGGCAUAUCUUAACAACUGCAACAUGACCCACACUUUUAUGAACUCUUUAAUAAUGGUUAUGAUAAAACCCGAUUACCUUAAUCAUUAUCCUUCGAAAAGGCUUAUCCUCUUGGUAAAAUACACUUAAAAUCCAUAUAGGUAGGGUGUGAUAUAAAACUAUCCCAAUUCAAAAUCGCGUCACAUAAUUAACAAAAAGUUAAAGCAUCUUAAAAGGACUGAUUUUUAGGACAUAUUAAUUUACUUAAUAGGUAGGAAUUGAACACACGGUAUUUUUAUAUGGCAUAUCUUAACAACUGCAACAUGACCCACAAUUAUAUGAACUCUUUAAUAAUGGUUAUGAUAAAACCCAAUUACCUUAAUCAUUAUCCUUCGAAAACUCUUAUCCUCUUGGUAAAAUACACUUAAAAUCUAUAUAGGUAGGGUGUGAUAUAAAACGUUCCCAAUUUAAAAUCGCGUCACAUAAUAAACAAGAAAUUAAAGCAUCUUAAAGGGUCUAAUUUUUAGGAUAUAUUAAUUUACUUAAUAGGUAGGAAUUGAACAUACGGUAUUUUUAUAUGGUAUAUCUAAACAACUGCAACAUGACCCACAAUUUUAUGAACUCUUGAAUAAUGGUUAUGAUAAAACCCGAUUACCUUAAUCAUUAUCCUUCGAAAAGGCUUAUCCUCUUGGUAAAAUACACUUAAAAUCCAUAUAGGUAGGGUGUGAUAUAAAAAUAUCCCAAUUCAAAAUCGCGUCACAUAAUAAACAAGAAAUCAAAUCAUCUAAAAGGUCUAAUUUUUAGGAUAUAUUAAUUUACUUAAUAGGUAGGCAUUAAACAUACGGUAUUUUUAUAUGGUAUAUCUUAACAACUGCAACAUGACCCACAAUUUUAUGAACUCUAUAACAAUAGGUUUUAUUUAUCCCGAUUACCCCAAUCACUAUCCUUCGAAAAUAAAUUUUAAAAUAAAUAAAAAUAAACUUUAAAUCCAUAUAGGUUGGGUGUAUUACACAAGGGUCUCAAUUUAAAAUCGCGUCUCAUAAUAAACAAAACAUAAAGCAACUUAAAAGGUGUGAUUUUUGAGACAUGCUAAUUUAAUAUCCGUCGAAAAGGAAUAUGCUCUUGGUCAAAUAAACUUUCCAAUUCAAAUGUCCGUAACCUAUGAUUUAAGAUAAUAUCCUACUUACAUCCUACACUUACAUUAUUUUUUUUUUUUUGUGUUAUUUUAUAUCAACCACAAUAAUACAAGCCCCUCAAUUAUAUGUAUGAUAUAUUUCGAUUACCCCAAACCAAAAAGUAAAACUAGAUUUGGAUUAGGAUUUUAAAAGAAUGACAACAUAUAAUGUAGGACUCUGAGAUUAACAGCAUAUCUUUGUGCAUUUUAUGUUGUAAUUUGAAAUUGUUUUUGUUUUACUUCUUAUUUGUAUAAUUUAUUCAUUUAUGCGACCUCAAUUUUGAGUUCUAGUAUUUUUGUGUUUAUAAUGUGUUUGUGUGGAUUGAGUCAAAAAUGAUUAAUGUCGCAUUCAUUUGUAAAGGAAUAGUUGCUUGGAAAUAAAAAAAACACGAAAACUAAUAACGUAAUAUACCCUAUUACCCUGGUAAUUAUUUUGAAAAUUCAAUAGAAAAUUUGAAAAGAAAAUUACCGAAAUGAACAAGGGAAAACAGUUUAAAAUUAACAAUUUACUGAACAAGUUUAAACUAAAGAAAUCCGCCCGCAUUCAAGCU